CAGAGCAUAGCUAAACACUAGAGCAUCUCCCUUACACUGAGAAGGUGUCCGCGAACCCCGGACUGCUCUGA
rnacentral:tRNA from 1 species